rnacentral:RNase_P_RNA from 1 species
GAAGACGGUCGGGUAGUCGCUGUUGCCAUGCAAUAGAGGAAAGUCCGGGCUCCAUAGGGCAAGUCGCCAGGUAACGCCUGGGAGGCGCAAGCCUACGGAUAGUGCCACAGAAAAUAUACCGCCUGCUUCGGCAGGUAAGGGUGAAAAGGUGCGGUAAGAGCGCACCGCGCUGCCGGUAACGGCAGUGGCAGGGUAAACCCCGGCUGGAGCAAGACCAAAUAGGGAAGCUGAUGCUGUUGCCCGCAGUUGCUUCCGGGUAGGUUGCUUGAGGCGUCCGGUGACGGGCGUCCCAGAUGAAUGACUAUCACGGCAGCUUCGGUUGCUGACAGAACCCGGCUUACAGACCGUCUUCCCAU